rnacentral:rRNA from 1 species
GCUGACCAGCUAGCCCACCCUAACAAAAACAACAACCCAAUAUAAAUAACCCCAAACACACUACUCCUCCUAUAAACAAACCAUUUUACCCCCCUAGUAUGGGCGACAGAAAAGGAACUAUUGGAGCGAUAGAGAAAGUACCGCAAGGGAACGCUGAAAGAGAAAUGAAAUAACCCAGUAAAGCCUAAAAAAGCAGAGAUUUUACCUCGUACCUUUUGCAUCAUGAUUUAGCUAGUACUACCCAAGCAAAGAGAACUUUAGUUUGGACCCCCGAAACUAGGUGAGCUACUCCAAGACAGCCUAUCAAUAGGGCAAACCCGUCUCUGUGGCAAAAGAGUGGGAAGAGCUUUGAGUAGAGGUGACAGACCUACCGAACCUAGUUAUAGCUGGUUGCCUGAGAAUUGGAUAGGAGUUCAGCCUCCAGGCUUCUCUAUUCACCGCGGUCUUACCCCUACCGAUGCACUAAAGAAGCCUAGAGAGUUAAUCAAAGGGGGUACAGCCCCUUUGAGACAAGAUACAACUUUUCCAGGAGGGUAAAGAUCAUAUUUACCCAAGGUAACAAUGCCCAGGUGGGCCUAAAAGCAGCCAUCCUUACAGAAAGCGUUAAAGCUCAAGCAUUACACCUUCCCACAUAUUCAGAUAACCAUAUCCCAACCCCCUAAUAUUAUCAGGCCAUCUCAUGCAUACAUGAGAGUGCACAUGCUAAUAUGAGUAACAAGAGAGCCUCCGCCUCUCUCCUUGCACACGUGUAAAUCGGAACGAACCCCCACCGAAACUUAACGGCCCCAAACAAAGAGGGCAAUGAACAACAAGUAAGCAACCAGAAAACCAUCCAAAAAACAACCGUUAACCCCACACUGGUGUGCCAUUAAGGAAAGACUAAAAGAAAAAGAAGGAACUCGGCAAACAUACCAAGCCUCGCCUGUUUACCAAAAACAUCGCCUCUUGCAAAAACAAAGAAUAAGAGGUCCAGCCUGCCCUGUGACUAUAUGUUUAACGGCCGCGGUAUUUUAACCGUGCGAAGGUAGCGCAAUCACUUGUCUUUUAAAUGGAGACCUGUAUGAAUGGCAUUACGAGGGCUUAACUGUCUCCUUUUUCUAGUCAGUGAAAUUGAUCUCCCCGUGCAGAAGCGGGGAUAUAACCAUAAGACGAGAAGACCCUAUGGAGCUUUAGACACCAAGGCAUAUCAUGUCAAACACCCCUAANCAAAGGACUAAACCAAAUGAAUCAUGCCCCCAUGUCUUUGGUUGGGGCGACCGCGGGGAAAUAAAAAACCCCCACGUGGAAUGGGAGUACUACCUCCUACAACCAAGAGCUGCAGCUCUAAAAAACAGAAUAUCUGACCAAUAAGAUCCGGCAACGCCGAUCAACGGACCGAGUUACCCUAGGGAUAACAGCGCAAUCCCCUUUUAGAGCCCAUAUCGACAAGGGGGUUUACGACCUCGAUGUUGGAUCAGGACAUCCUAAUGGUGCAGCCGCUGUUAAGGGUUCGUUUGUUCAACGAUUAAAGUCCUACGUGAUCUGAGUUCAGACCGGAGUAAUCCAGGUCAGUUUCUAUCUAUGAUAUGUUCUUUUCUAGUACGAAAGGACCGAAAAGAAGAGGCCAAUGCUAAAAGCACGCCUCACCCCUCCUAUUGAAAACAACUAAAAUAGGCAAAAGGGCAUACCCCUCCACGCCCAAGAUAAUGGCAU